rnacentral:rRNA from 1 species
GAUGAACGCUGGCGGCGUGCCUAAUACAUGCAAGUCGAGCGAACGGACGAGAAGCUUGCUUCUCUGAUGUUAGCGGCGGACGGGUGAGUAACACGUGGAUAACCUACCUAUAAGACUGGGAUAACUUCGGGAAACCGGAGCUAAUACCGGAUGAUAUUUUGAACCGCAUGGUUCAAAAGUGAAAGACGGUCUUGCUGUCACUUAUAGAUGGAUCCGCGCCGCAUUAGCUAGUUGGUAAGGUAACGGCUUACCAAGGCAACGAUGCAUAGCCGACCUGAGAGGGUGAUCGGCCACACUGGAACUGAGACACGGUCCAGACUCCUACGGGAGGCAGCAGUAGGGAAUCUUCCGCAAUGGGCGAAAGCCUGACGGAGCAACGCCGCGUGAGUGAUGAAGGUCUUCGGAUCGUAAAACUCUGUUAUUAGGGAAGAACAUAUGUGUAAGUAACUGUGCACAUCUUGACGGUACCUAAUCAGAAAGCCACGGCUAACUACGUG